GCCGGGUUAGCCAAGUGGUCAAAGGCGACAGACUCAAGAUCUGUUCCCGCAGGGGUUCGCAGGUUCGAGUCCUGCACCCGGCA
rnacentral:tRNA from 1 species